UACGUAGGGGGCUAGCGUUGUCCGGAAUCAUUGGGCGUAAAGCGCGCGUAGGCGGCCAGAUAAGUCCGGUGUGAAAGUCACAGGCUCAACCUGUGAAUGCCGCUGGAAACUGUCUGGCUCGAGUCCGGGAGGGGCGAGUGGAAUUCCGUGGUGUAGCGUGAAAUGCGCAGGAUAUCAGGAGGAACACCAAUGGCGAAGGCAGCUCGCUGGAACGGUACUGACGCUGAGGCGCGAAAGCGUGGGGAGCGAACAGGAUAGAU
rnacentral:rRNA from 1 species